AUUUUUACUCGUUCUCACUGCCAUUCUACUGGAAAUUCCACAAGGAAAAUAUAUGCCUUCUUCUUUCAUAGUAGUGAACGCUGAACCUGGACCAUCAAAGAGAAGAUAAUUUCUCAUCAAAUUGCCCAGCACUGUAAUGAGAAGAGAUGCAUCCAUAAAGUAAUAAACAAACCGAAUCUGAAUGUACCUCAUCAAAUGAAGGUGGCAGAAGUGUGGCGACCUAGCAUAGAUGUUUCACAGCCUCAAGGCUUGCAGAAUCAGAGAAGUCAGAAGCCUGCUAUGUAUAAUAUGUAGGCAUGUAUCUUACUUCAUGAGUCUCUUAUCUACUUUCCAGUAGGCAAAUUUUUGUAAGCAGACUUAUCUUACUUGAGA
rnacentral:lncRNA from 1 species